rnacentral:rRNA from 1 species
GACGAACGCUGGCGGCGUGGAUUAGGCAUGCAAGUCGAACGGUAUCAUCCUUUCGGGGGUGAGAGAGUGGCGAACUGGUGAGUAACACGUAGGUUAUCUACCCUCAAGACGGGGACAACCCAGGGAAACUUGGGCUAAUACCGGAUGUGAGCAACUUUUAGUUGUUUGAAAGGUGGCGUAAGCUGUCGCUUGGGGAUGAGCCUGCGUCCUAUUAGUUAGUUGGUGAGGUAACGGCUCACCUAGGCAAUGAUAGGUAGGCGGCCUUAACGGGUGGUCGCCCACACUGGGAUUGAGAUACGGCCCAGACUCCUACGGGAGGCAGCAGUCGAGAAUAGUCUACAAUGGCCGAAAGGCUGAUAGUGCGACGCCGCGUGAACGAAGAAGCCCUUCGGGUGUAAAGUCUUUUAUAUGUGAGCAGUGCUUUCUAUGUGAACAGCAUGGGGAGAGAGAUAUUAGCAUAUGAAUAAGCAACGGCUAACUCCGUGCCAGCAGCCGCGGUAAAACG